AUAUAUAUAUACAUAUAUGGGAAAAGAUGGGAUUAGCCCACUAGCUCGUAUGAACAUAUGAGCCCAAUGGCCCAGAUUGAAUCUAGGCCGAUCUGAAGAUCACGGAUGUCUGGUAGUGCUUGAAUUGUAGUUUUUUUUCUACAGAUCCAAAUCACUUGAAAGUUUAGGUGUGCGUUCUUCUCAUCAAGGCGCACCUAAUAAAAAAAUAAAAAAAAUUAUCUGCAAAAAAUAAAAUGACUAAAAUACCCCCUGAAACUUUUCGGGGGUAUUUGGUCAAUUUAUUUCAUGUAAAAUAUUUGUUUGAUAUUUUUCGAAGAUUCACCUAUUUUUGAUGAAUACACGCCUAAAAUUUCAAGUGAUUUGGAUUUGUGGAAAAUUCAAACACUACCGAACAUCCGUGAUCGUUAGAUCGGCCCAGAAUUAAUCUAGGACGUUGAGCUCAUAUGUUCAUAUGAGCUAGUGGACUAAUCCCAUCUUUUCCCUAUAUAUAUAUAUAUAU
rnacentral:pre_miRNA from 1 species